GCCGAUGUAGCUCAGUUGGUAGAGCAAUGCUUUCGUAAAGCAGAGGUCGUGGGUUCGACUCCCAUCAUCGGCUCCA
rnacentral:tRNA from 1 species